CCCUGGUGUGUUUGAUUGAGGACGUGGUUAAAGGAACAUUUCAAUCAUUUAAAUGGAAAAAGAGCAACGCAGAGCAGAGAAACUACAUGGAAAGUGACUUCAAAAAGUCUGGAGGGUUGUUUUCAGCCUUCAGUGUCCUGAAGGUCACAAACACAGAGUGGGACAAUAAUGAUGUUUAUACCUGUGAGGCACAGUACAACAACCAGUUAUAUGUGAAAAAGAUCUCAAAAGCUCCUUUCACAAUGACCCUGAACCAACCCAGUGCCAAAAGCAUUUUCAAUAAUAACCAAGCAAAGCUGGACUGUGUCAUCACUGGACAAGACUUGACCAUCAUAGGCAGCACUAACAUCACAUGGACGGUGGACGGUCAACCUGUCUCUGCCGAUGUGACUGAGACGACAAACUUCAAAGACGGACAGCACAUCAAAAACAGCACCAUGACCCGUGACCUCCCCGGGUGGCAGAAGGUCAAAACAGUGACAUGUUCUGCCUCCUUAGAAGACCGCACUCCAGUAAUUCAAGAUCUGACUGUCAACAGAGGAGAUGGGAGACCACCAGAGGUGAAAGUUCACAUCCUCCCAGAAGGAAGCAUUUCCUCGGCUGAGGUCACCAUGGUGUGUCUGGUCACCAGUGCUGUGCUGCAGGAUUACUACAUCACUUGGUCUGAACACGACGGCACAGGAGCCGGCAACUACGUCGAUGGCAUCAACUUCCUGCCACAGAAGACAAAGCAGGGCUACUUGGUGACCAGUGUUUACACCACCACCAAGGAGAAGUGGGAGAAGGAAAUUAUGUUUCACUGCAGCGUUUGGCCCGCUGGCAGCACCACCAAGUCCAUAGUAAUGGAUGGAGUGUCAAAAGCUUUGGAAAUAAACCAGAGUCUGGUUCUUAACGUCCCAGACAAUCCUCUAGAAGACAAUGUGGAGGAUGAACUCAGCAGUCUGUGGUCCACAGCUUGCUCCUUCAUAGUUCUCUUUAUAUCUUCUCUCUUCUAUAACAUAAUAUUCAGCUUUGUCAAGGUGAAGAGACGAUAGAACCAAACGGAUGUCUGACACAAAAUCCAUGUGUUUAUCUUUUUUGAAUUUUUUCUUUAUCAAAAAAUUGUUGAACGUUGAUUCAACUUCAAAUAAAAUAAGAGAAAUGUCAAAGAGUAGUUUAUUUCUUUUUCUAUUGUACAGAAAGAUAAAGCUGGUACUGCAGUACUUAUUCUUGUGAUGUAAUAAUGACAUUGCUGUGUGGAAUUAAUAAAAAAAUAAUAAAAUUGCAUGUUCCCUAGUUUUGCAAUCCUUAAUUUGAAAAUAAAAGAAAGUCUUUCUUCAUAUUUCUGGGUUCUUUUGUUCAGGAAUUCACUGUAUGGGAGAAAAUGUUCAGAGAGAAUAAAAAAAUUAUUAUUGUUUGAAUUU